rnacentral:lncRNA from 1 species
GGGUCUGGUAAGGGUACAUCGAACCCUUUCUUUGAACAUGACAAUGACAUGACCGAGUAAGAAGAUGCAACCAAGGAAGAAGGGGCAACGUAUGUUGUUGAUGGAUCAGAAUCAGACCAUGAUCCAAUUCGAUAGUCUGGUCCGAAUGGUUCCAAAGUAGCACUUUUUUUGAACCGAAAUAGAUUCCAACUGAGCCAGAACCUUGUAGUUUUGAUGAUGAUGGUUUGGACAAUUUAUUGGAUCUAAAUCUGUGAUUCAGGGCAUAUGAACCUCCGUCC